rnacentral:rRNA from 1 species
GACGUAGGGCGCGAGCGUUGUCCGGAUUUAUUGGGCGUAAAGAGCUCGUAGGCGGCUUGUCGCGUCGACUGUGAAAUCCCGCGGCUCAACUGCGGGUCUGCAGUCGAUACGGGCAGGCUAGAGUUCGGUAGGGGAGACGUGGAAUUCCUGGUGUAGCGGUGAAAUGCGCAGAUAUCAGGAGGAACACCGGUGGCGAAGGCGGGUCUCUGGGCCGAUACUGACACUGAGGCACGAAAGCGUGGGGAGCAAACAGG